AACUAAAGUUAAAAGAAAAAAGAAGUAAAGCUCCAAAAAUUUCAUGUUAAUCCCUCCAAAUUAUCUUUCACCCUAAAAUCCCUCCAAUACGCUAAAAUCCCUAAGAGUUGGCCGCAAAACUUCAUCAAAAUGCACAAGGUUGCAAAGAACUUAGAAGGUAGGUUAGUGUCUAAUAUUCAUCACUCUCCAAGAGACUACACAAAUUAUACCAUUGGAUUAUCCACCUAAAAAAGAAAGAGAAGGAGCAUUGAGGUUGAUGGUAUGCCGCACUUAUGUUGUUUCAUGUGCAAGAGCUUCUCAGAUGUCUAUAGCAUUGAAGUUACCUGUGUAAUUUCAGCCUACCAUAUGGUUGGUACAAAUGUUGCAUUGAAUCAAGAUGAAAAUGAAUAUGGGGUACCCCAAGAAUAUUGACAGGUAUUCAGAUGUCUAUAGCAUUGCAUGUUCUGCUGGCGUAGCUACUGCUGGUACAACAGUUGAUGAUGUAGCUACUGCUGGUGCCUGUUCUAUGUUUUAAAUUCAUAAAAUUGAAAUAAAGGUAAGGUAUAUACUAAACUUUGGUCAAAUUAAUUCAAGCCUCAUUGUAGAACUAUGUCGAUCCUAAAACAAUUGAGAAACAUGUGCGUUUGGUUAAUUAAACAUGUUCUUUACUUUUAGUGGGAUCUGAUAAAAAUUUCUCUAUAUACUUUGUAGGCUCAAAUCCAUGAAUUGGUGCAGUCUGAACCAUCACUUCCUAGAAUAGAGAUUGUAGAAAAAUGCUUUGGACCUCAAAGUGAUAGUCAUGUAUUUGGUUUUGGGGGUGGAUUAAAGGUGAAAGAUUUGACAGGUGGAACUGCCUCAAAAACCGAAUUAUUGGCUAAGUUACGUUCAAUUGAAAAUAAAAACCAGUCUUUGAAGGAUCGUUUGUCUAACUUUGAAAAUGAAAUGAGAGAACUUAAGCAAAUAAAAGAAUUAGUAUUAGUGCAACAAACUAAUUUCCAGCCUCAAUUUCAGGAGGAUGAUUAUUCGGACCUUGAUGAUACCAAUGCCCCCAAAACUCCAUGGAGAGAGAUGAGCUUAAAUCAGCCCACUUGGUGAUUUACGUGUUAACAAAGCCUCUUCGGCCGAGUGUGUUAAUUUCAUGCUUUCAAGAAACCCUUGGCUUCGAAAACAAGAGGCAUGUAAAAAGGGGGAAACUUCCAACUCGUGCAAGUCUGCUAAAGGGCAGACAUAUCCUGGGGAUAGAUGAUAAUGCUGUAAACAGAAGAGUGGCAGAAGGUGCUCUCAAAAAGUAUUGAGCUAUAUCAGCCUGUGUGGAUAGUAGGAAGGCUGCUUUGGCAAUUUUCACGCCACCACAUAAGUAUGAUGCUUGCUUUAUAGAUCUCCAAAUGCCAUAAAUGGAAGGGUAAGUACUUAAUUUAUUUCUUGAUCAUUCUUGUCAUCAUAUGUAGCUGUUCUAUGUGCAUAUAAACCAAUAAAAUUAAAGGGAUCAGGGUGGCUUUUUGUGGGCUAAAGAAAAAGCUAAUGCUAUAUUCUUGAGAACACAUGCAUUCUUAUGAGUUGGGAUAUGAAUUGCUUCAAUGCCUUUGCUGUGUCCUAUAAUUGAGAUAGAGAACUCAAUGAUUACCUCUGCUUGCCUUGGUGAACAAGUUCUAUUACUUGAUUGUUGAAUUUUGUACUUAUCCUUUAGAACAUUAUCCCUUAGCUUAUUGGUUUUGCCAAUAUUAGCAAUAACAACAGAUGUUAUUCAAGCAACAGAUGCAGAGUGCAUGAAGUGUGAGAUGGAUUAUUAUGUGGCAAAACCAUUUGAAGAAGGGCAACUUUAUUCAGCAAUCGCCCACUUCUUUGUGUGUGGUUGAUUAGGAGGUGUUUCAAGUAACUAUAUAAUGGAGGUACCUGUUGAGGUUCCGCCUGAUGGUUUAAUUUAAUUUGGUUGUGAAAAAGCUCAUCAGUUGUCUGAAUGUCCGAUUAAUGCAUUUCUAUGUUGGAAGUGGAUGGAGGACCUUGGCUGCUCAGAUGUCUGAUAGUUGGUUCAUAAUGUUGCUGCUGGAUAAUGUAGCAGAUUCAGAGCAAAUACAUCUAUCAUGACUUAUGUGAUUAACCAUCAUUUUGCUGGGAAUUUCAAGAAAAUUUUACAUUACAAUCGCGAGAUAUUAGUGAUAUGUAGUUUUUUGCUAAAUGUUUAUGAACACAGUAUUUUGACUAGCUUACAUUAUUGAUGUAUGGUGCAACUAACUGAUGCUGAUCAUUUUUGGUAUUAUUUUAUGAAAGCAACAUCAUCUAUAUAUUAAUAUUCUCGAUUUUCUACUUGCAAAUUAAAUGUGAUUUAGAGACUUGUGAAUUGUUUCUUUAGGGACUAGACUAUUAGUCCUUAAAUCCUUUUCAGGAAUGAAAAAUUUGAUUGCUAAAUUUGUAGCUUUGUAGUGUUGACCUGUUCGACUAAGGGACCAGCUUUAAACAAAAGAUAUAACGGCCAGCUUCUAACUGGCCCCGAAACUUAUUAAUGACCACAUUUAAACUAGUCCCGAAAAUAUUUUAAGGACCAGGAAUUUAGUCACUAAAAUAUGCAAAUAGGCACCAGAAACAUGGUCCUUAAAAACCGUUUAAGGGCUAGUUUUAAACUGGCCGCAAAACAGUUUUAGCGACCAUCACCGUAUCUCGUACUUACUGACCUUUAGCGGCGGAAGCUAUAAGGACCAGAAUAGCUGGUCGCUAUUGACCAUUUAGGACCAAUUUCUUACUUUUAGGGACCAGUUUUCCUUUCGCUAUUGACCAUUUUUCUUGUAGUGUAUUCCAUAAUUCCCAUGAAGGGCUAGGGUAAUGACUAAUAUCAGGAGACAGAGAUCGGAAGAUAGCUUAAGCCUACAUAAAGGCUGAUUAGAAGGAAAAGGAAACUAAAGAGUUACAUCAACUAAAAAA